AUACGGAGGGUGCAAGCGUUAUCCGGAUUUACUGGGUUUAAAGGGUACGCAGGCGGUAAUUUAAGUCAGUGGUGAAAGCCUACAGCUCAACUGUAGAACUGCCAUUGAAACUGAAUUACUUGAGUAUGGUAGAGGUAGGCGGAAUACAACAUGUAGCGGUGAAAUGCAUAGAUAUGUUGUAGAACACCGAUUGCGAAGGCAGCUUACUAAACCCUUACUGACGCUCAUGUACGAAAGCGUGGGGAGCGAACAGGAUUAGAAACCAUAGUAGUCC
rnacentral:rRNA from 1 species